AAUUAAAAUUGUCAACUAAAGUUUUAUUGCCCAAAAAAAGAAAUUUAAUUGAAAAAAAAACCACUGAAGCCCACUGAAUGUUUUUUCAUUAAAACAAAAAAAACGAUGUCCUCUUUCUUUACUUUCUUCGUCUUUCCCUCCUAGUCUCCAUUGAAGCGCACUCAUCAUUCUCCACUGAAGCACACUCAGUGUUCUCCAUUGAGUUUUGUCCUAACUUUCUUUUUCUCAUCAUCUAAUUUCAAUUUCCAAUAUAGGGUUUUGUCCUAAAUUUUAUUUUACGACUUCCUCCAUUUCAAGGCUUUCGACACAUCAUACUCCAUCGUUGUCUACAAGUCCCGGGUUCAAUAUUUGCUUUUAAUAAGGUAGAAUUUGAAUAAAAUUUCCUCAGAUCAAAGAUAUCAAGCCUAAUUCGAGAAAAAUCAAAAACCUAAUUUUUUGCCAAUUUUACGGUUUUUCAUGCAAUAAUUCAAGAAACAACAAAUUCGGAUCAAUUUCAAACCAAAAAUCAGAAAUUCGAGGAGGAAGUGGGGUGGUUACUGGUUUAUGAUGUCAAACUGACAAAUUGUAACCUGCUGGUACGGCAACUAACUCACCGGAUGGUGUACAAUUCUUUUUGGAAAGUGUUUGCCUGUGCUCUAAGACAUGGCUGAGCAAAAUAGUCCUCUCUUGGUAACUUAAUCCUUUUCAGUUAAUAUAACUAUUUUUCUAACUUUCUUUCAAUACUGAAAUCAUCUGUUUAUUAAUCAGGCUCAUAAAAUGUCUAUGUCGGGCAUAAGUAUCAUGUCUUUAUGCCUGCUUGUACGCUAUUAUUGCCUAUCAAACUGAUAUGUGUGCUUCUGGUUAUGCUAUUGGCCCUUCUUCGUAAUCUGUUCAUAAAGCAUCGCAGUUUGUUGAUGUGGAUGUCCUAUGUGUGUUUUAUUAAUAUGUAUCAUAUGUUUAAUAGUUUUAAGCUUAUAUUAGUUCAGAACACUAUUAGUACUUAAUUCCAAUAUAUAUGUGAAUAUGUGAUGAUAUACACAUUACUUCAGGAGUUCAGGUGUUAAAUUUUUAGACUGUAAGCACCAGCAACUACCAAGUAUCUGACUGUUUUUGUUAACAAGUAUAUAGCCUAUUAGGCCUCUAAUGUAUCUUUUCGUUGUGUGAUAAAAAAAGGGGGACUAUAAUAGCCACUAUGACUCCACUACACCUUGUUUUGAAUAGGAACUCUCUCUUUAAUGAGGCUUGCAGCCACAUUAACUACUGUCUUCUAUUGUUUAAAAGGGAAGUCCAUAGUAGUGCUUUCAAAUCAGUAAUAAAUCAAAGCAAAAAAAAAAAAAAAAAAAAAAAAAAAAAAAAACCUUUUUUUAGCAUGAUAUUUUAGAUACUAUGACUAAUCAAGUGAAAAAAAGCCAUAACAUUUGCUAUGUUGUGUCCUUGACCUGAAUUUCUGUAACAUUUUCUGUAUAUGUGUGCUUUGAUUGUACCCUUUGGUUGUACAUGCAGGGCAAUAGGGAAUACACGUCUUUUAGUAGUUACUAGUGGGAGUGAAAAAUAUUUUCUUGGGACUGACAGUGCUCCUCAUAGAAGAAAGAAUGUUCUUGUGGAUGUGUUGGAAUCUUUAAAGCUCCUGUUGCUCUAUCACAAUAUGCCAAACUAUUUGAAGAGGAAUGAAUUGCUCCAUGAAAGCAAGGUGUUUAAGAUGCUCCACGGUUUGACAUUGUAGUUGUAGUUGGGUGCUAGUGCUGCAUGUUGCUCUGUUCCGAUUGUUGCUACUACCUUUGCUGGUUGUUGCUGAAGUUGUAGUGUAUACUAAUUUUUUUAUUCUUUUAUUAUUUUUUGAUCAUAAGUGUAAAAUUUACAAGCUAUUAAUGAAAAUAUCAUAGUUUUACGACUUUAUGCACUAUGUAUGUUUAUCAAUUGCAAAACCACUACCUUUAAGCCGCUUUGAACCGGUGCCUAGUGUUGUUAGCCACACACGGUAAUAUUUAUAUUAAUAAAGUUUAUUAGCCAAGGUAA